GAUGAAGAACGUAGCGAAAUGCGAUAAGUAGUGUGAAUUGCAGAAUUCAGUGAAUCAUCGAAUCUUUGAACGCACAUUGCGCCCCUUGGUAUCCCGAGGGGCAUGCCUGUUCGAGCGUCAUUUCACCACUCAAGCCUGGCUUGGUGUUGGGCGACGUCCUCUUUGGGGACGCGCCUCGAAACGCUCGGCGGCGUGGCACCGGCUUUAAGCGUAGCAGAAUCUUUCGCUUUGGAAGUCGGGGCCCCGUCUGCCGGUAGACCUGCUCGCAAGGUUGACCUCGGAUCAGGCAGGGAUACCCGCUGAACUUAAGCAUAUCAAUAAGCGGAGGA
rnacentral:misc_RNA from 1 species